GGUAACAUCAAAUCGUACCCCAAACCGACACAGGUGGUCAGGUAGAGAAUACCAAGGCGCUUGAGAGAACUCGGGUGAAGGAACUAGGCAAAAUGGUGCCGUAACUUCGGGAGAAGGCACGCUGACAUGUAGGUGAAGUGAUUUACUCAUGGAGCUGAAGUCAGUCGAAGAUACCAGCUGGCUGCAACUGUUUAUUAAAAACACAGCACUGUGCAAACACGAAAGUGGACGUAUACGGUGUGACGCCUGCCCGGUGCCGGAAGGUUAAUUGAUGGGG
rnacentral:rRNA from 2 species